rnacentral:pre_miRNA from 1 species
UAGCCAGUCAGAAAUGAGCUUAUUCAUAAAAGUACAGUAGCAUGCAGUAAGUCUGUAAUUUUGUGUAUAAGCUGGUCUCUGACUGAAGUGUGCAGCA